UUUUAGGUUGAAAACUCCCCUUUGAACAAAGCUUUCAUCGAGAGAAUAUCUCUUUCAAAGCUUCCAUACUCAGAGAAAAUCUUCUUUUAACUUUGAGUUUAUUUUUGGCUGUCAAAAUCUCUUUUCAAGUUCUCGGCUGAAAUAACAAGUUUUCAAGUGGAUUCAGAGACUCGACGAAUACAAUAGCCUUAGUUCGCUGUCACGGAGAAGGUAAUCACAUUCGGCCUAUCUUCGUCUUUAAUUUUAUAAGAAGUAGAAAUGUAGUCGUUCAAGUAUUUCUCGUCAUUUGCCUGGUUUGGUUGGCUGGAAUAUGUGUUCUCCUCAUUUGUUGUAAAUUAACGUGAAACGACUAAUUUCGUCGAGUGUGUUACUUCAGUUGCUGUGUGUUUUCAGUUUCACAUAGAUUAGCACAGUUUCAUUUCUUUUUAGAUGUUUAAACUUUCUUUUAAUGUUUGGAAAUCUGUUUAGUCCAUAUAAAGCAGUGUCAGUUUCAAUCGUGUUUAGGGAAAGGCGAUUAAGCUUGUCCUAAGUUCUUCCCUGUGUUUAAAGAUAUGAAUUUCUAUUGUUAAAGUUUUAGUUCUGCCUUGGACUGAAUACUUCAUGAGGACAUGAACUGCUUGUGUUACAUUCAGUUGAUUGCUUUAUUUCCUUUGAAUUGCGUUAAGCCUAGAACAAGAUAAUGACCUUGUCACAAGUAGUCUAUUAAGGCCCUGUUAAGUUCACAUUGCGUUAAAUCAAGUAAUAAAUAAAUCUCUUAAUCUUGAUCUGUAACUAAAUCUCUGUUCAAAGAUAAUAAGAGGUUAUUACUGUUUUGUU